GCCCCAAUAGCUCAGUGGUAGAGCAACCGCUUCGUAAGCGGUAGGCCGUUGGUUCAAAUCCGACUUGGGGCACCA
rnacentral:tRNA from 4 species